AUUGAACGCUGGCGGCAUGCCUAACACAUGCAAGUCGAACGGAGGUAGGGGCAACUCUACUUCAGUGGCGGACGGGUGAGGAAUGCGUCGGAAUCUACCCUAUGGUGGGGGAUAACACAGGGAAACUUGUGCUAAUACCGCAUAAUGUCGAGAGACCAAAGCAGGGGACCGCAAGGCCUUGCGCGAUAGGAUGAGCCGACGCCCGAUUAGCUAGUUGGUAGGGUAAAGGCCUACCAAGGCGACGAUCGGUAGCUGGUCUGAGAGGAUGAUCAGCCACACUGGGACUGAGACACGGCCCAGACUCCUACGGGAGGCAGCAGUGGGGAAUAUUGGACAAUGGGCGCAAGCCUGAUCCAGCAAUGCCGCGUGUGUGAAGAAGGCCUGCGGGUUGUAAAGCACUUUUGUUCGGGAAGAAAUCAUGCUGGUUAAUACCUGGUAUGGAUGACGGUACCGAAAGAAUAAGCACCGGCUAACUUCGUGCCAGCAGCCG
rnacentral:rRNA from 1 species